GCUCCUAUGACACAUCAUGACACAGUAUGAUAUACUGAUUUUUAAUCAGUAGGUCCGCGGUUCGAGUCCGUGUGGGGGCACCA
rnacentral:tRNA from 1 species